AAAUUGAAGAGUUUGAUCAUGGCUCAGAUUGAACGCUGGCGGCAGGCCUAACACAUGCAAGUCGAACGGUAACAGGAAGCAGCUUGCUGCUUCGCUGACGAGUGGCGGACGGGUGAGUAAUGUCUGGGAAACUGCCUGAUGGAGGGGGAUAACUACUGGAAACGGUGGCUAAUACCGCAUAACGUCGCAAGACCAAAGAGGGGGACCUUCGGGCCUCUUGCCAUCAGAUGUGCCCAGAUGGGAUUAGCUUGUUGGUGAGGUAACGGCUCACCAAGGCGACGAUCCCUAGCUGGUCUGAGAGGAUGACCAGCCACACUGGAACUGAGACACGGUCCAGACUCCUACGGGAGGCAGCAGUGGGGAAUAUUGCACAAUGGGCGCAAGCCUGAUGCAGCCAUGCCGCGUGUAUGAAGAAGGCCUUCGGGUUGUAAAGUACUUUCAGCGGGGAGGAAGGUGUUGUGGUUAAUAACCGCAGCAAUUGACGUUACCCGCAGAAGAAGCACCGGCUAACUCCGUGCCAGCAGCCGCGGUAAUACGGAGGGUGCAAGCGUUAAUCGGAAUUACUGGGCGUAAAGCGCACGCAGGCGGUCUGUCAAGUCGGAUGUGAAAUCCCCGGGCUCAACCUGGGAACUGCAUUCGAAACUGGCAGGCUUGAGUCUUGUAGAGGGGGGUAGAAUUCCAGGUGUAGCGGUGAAAUGCGUAGAGAUCUG
rnacentral:rRNA from 1 species